GACGAACGCUGGCGGCGUGCUUAACACAUGCAAGUCGAGCGGUAAGGCCCUUUCGGGGGUACACGAGCGGCGAACGGGUGAGUAACACGUGGGUGACCUGCCCUCAGCUCUGGGAUAAGCCUGGGAAACUGGGUCUAAUACCGGAUAUGACCCCAUGACGCAUGUCGUGGGGUGGAAAGCCUUGUGCGGCUGAGGAUGGGCCCGCGGCCUAUCAGCUUGUUGGUGGGGUGAUGGCCUACCAAGGCGACGACGGGUAGCCGGCCUGAGAGGGCGACCGGCCACACUGGGACUGAGACACGGCCCAGACUCCUACGGGAGGCAGCAGUGGGGAAUCUUGCGCAAUGGGCGAAAGCCUGACGCAGCGACGCC
rnacentral:rRNA from 1 species